GAUGAACGCUGGCGGCGUGCCUAAUACAUGCAAGUCGAGCGAACAGACGAGGAGCUUGCUCCUCUGACGUUAGCGGCGGACGGGUGAGUAACACGUGGAUAACCUACCUAUAAGACUGGGAUAACUUCGGGAAACCGGAGCUAAUACCGGAUAAUAUAUUGAACCGCAUGGUUCAAUAGUGAAAGACGGUUUUGCUGUCACUUAUAGAUGGAUCCGCGCCGCAUUAGCUAGUUGGUAAGGUAACGGCUUACCAAGGCAGCGUUGCGUAGCCGACCUGAGAGGGUGAUCGGCCACACUGGAACUGAGACACGGUCCAGACUCCUACGGGAGGCAGCAGUAGGGAAUCUUCCGCAAUGGGCGAAAGCCUGACGGAGCAACGCCGCGUGAGUGAUGAAGGUCUUCGGAUCGUAAAACUCUGUUAUUAGGGAAGAACAAAUGUGUAAGUAACUAUGCACGUCUUGACGGUACCUAAUCAGAAAGCCACGGCUAACUACGUG
rnacentral:rRNA from 1 species